UACGUAGGCAGCGAGCGUUGUUCGGAGUUACUGGGCGUAAAGGGUGUGUAGGCGGUUGUUUAAGUUUGGUGUGAAAUCUCCCGGCUUAACCGGGGAACUGCGUCUGAUACUGGAUGGCUUGAGAUUGGGAGAGGGAUGCGGAAUUCCAGGUGUAGCGGUGAAAUGCGUAGAUAUCUGGAGGAACACCGGUGGCGAAGGCGGCAUCCUGGACCAACACUGACACUGAGGAGCGAAAGCCAGGGGAGCAAACGGG
rnacentral:rRNA from 1 species